CCUACGGGUGGCAGCAGUGAGGAAUAUUGGUCAAUGGACGAGAGUCUGAACCAGCCAAGUAGCGUGAAGGAUGACUGCCCUAUGGGUUGUAAACUUCUUUUAUAAAGGAAUAAAACGAGGCACGUGUGCCUUUUUGCAUGUACUUUAUGAAUAAGGAUCGGCUAACUCCGUGCCAGCAGCCGCGGUAAUACGGAGGAUCCGAGCGUUAUCCGGAUUUAUUGGGUUUAAAGGGAGCGUAGAUGGGUUGUUAAGUCAGUUGUGAAAGUUUGCGGCUCAACCGUAAAAUUGCAAUUGAUACUGGCAGUCUAGAGUACAGUUGAGGUAGGCGGAAUUCGUGGUGUAGCGGUGAAAUGCUUAGAUAUCACGAAGAACCCCGAUUGCGAAGGCAGCUUACUAGACUGUGACUGACAUUGAUGCUCGAAAGUGUGGGUAUCAAACAGGAUUAGAUACCCUUGUAGUC
rnacentral:rRNA from 1 species